AUGCAGGAUCCAGGACCAUUCAUGAACGGCUUUCAGUCGUCUUGCGAUAUUCUUAAUAUCCCAACAGCGCCUUCUCUCCCCUCUCCUUUUCCUUCUGUAACCAGGGGAAGCAUUAACUUGGCCCAUUCAAGCAGUGUGUUUCCAAAACAUGUGCCACUCCAUUUAUUGGAGAAAAUGACAAAUGGUUUCUCUAAGGACCGGGAACUUGGUGCCGGUGCAUUUGGGACAGUUUACAAGGGGGUGCAUAAAAAUGGUGAAACGAUUGCUGUGAAGUUGCUUCAUUCCAUGCCUGGGCGUGAUAAUGAGAAUUUUGAGAAGGAGUUUCGCAACCUUACAAGUCUGCUGCACAAGAAUAUUGUGCGUUUAGUUGGCUUUUGCCAUGAGACUCAGAAAGAAUGUGUACUGCACAAUGAAAAAAUGAUUUUUGCUGAGAGGACACAUAUGGCGCUAUGCUUCGAGUAUAUGCAAAAUGGGGAUCUUGGCAGAUAUCUUUCUGAUGAGUAUAGUGGGCAUGACUGGCCCACACGAUAUGCAAUAAUUAAGGGGAUCUGCGAGGGAUUGAAAUACCUUCACGAGGACUUGAAACCUCCUAUAUAUCAUUUGGAUUUAAAACCAGCUAAUAUAUUAUUGGAUGACAAAAUGGUGCCGAAGCUUGCAGAUUUUGGCUUGUCGAAGCUUUUUGGACAAGAACAAACGCGAGUCACAGAAAGCCGUACAGGAACACUGUAA
rnacentral:rRNA from 1 species